AUUGGCAUUCCACCCUCGCGACUCUCGGCCUCUGGCGUGACGCGGAGUCUUGUCUGUCGUCUCGUGUCGCGCUGAACAGCAUGAAGCGUCACUCUGUCGCCGUGCGACUUGCGUCGGUUUUGCGUCGUAAAUAAAAUGACGACGACGCUCCACAGACGUCGGGGGAAUUAGAACGCGGUUUGCGAGCUGUGUGAAUGAACUGCAAAAGUAAACUAACAUUUUUUGUUGUUUUUGGGGUAAAAAGUAAUUAACAUAUUUGAGCAGUUUGAAAAUCAGCUCCAGAGAACAUUUAACAUGAUAAUUUCAAGACAUCACAGUGUAGUAUGCUGAACACACUAGAUCCAACUGUGAAAAACUUUUUAUGAACUCGAAUCGUGACACAUUUUAGCGAGAAACGUUUCAUCUGGGACUGUUGAAGAUUUACGUCGAAAUUGGAAAGUUAGCAAAAUCGUUUAUUGGACAUGUGCGUGCGUAUCAACAAUGUGUUGAGUAGCAGCUAUCGAGUGUGUUAUUUUAUGGAUGAAGCCUUCAGCUCACUUACAAAGGCACAUCACUGGAAAUCUAUAUCACACUCCAACAAUGAAAGUCAUCCUGCCCUGUACGGAUAAGAUCUUCUCAAUCAGAUCUGACAGAGAAGGACCGUUGAUUCUCUGAAAUCGAUGCUGUUAUUGAGUCUUAUUCGGAUUUCAAUUUCAAGGUCAUAUGGCGGUGACGUGUUUUAUUGGUGAAGGGAGCACAGUAUGAGCAGCCGUACAGCUGAUGCUGUGGUGGAUGUGUGUCUGACAUUUCUGGCUGCCUCUGGUCUAGCGUCCAAUACUCUUGUCCUUGUCGUGUUCUACAGGUGCCCUGCUCUACGCUCCCCAUCCAAUAGAUUCGUGGGCAGCCUGGUGUUGGCUGAUUUGGUGUCUUCGACAGUGCUGGCGCCCACCCUGAUUUCGACGCGUGUGUCGCUGGUGUCGCUGGCGGCCGGCGUCGGCACUCUCGUCGCCACUGCCUCUGUCUUCUCUGUGGUCGCUAUCGCCGUCGACCGCUACAGCGCCGUCCUCAGUCCGCUGCACUACGCCAUGACUGUCACUAGGAGGCGCAGUCUCGCUGUGAUUGCUCUGGUGUGGAGCAUGUCAAUGGCUCUGGCCUCGCCGCACCUUCUCAUGCCUUGCGAGAAUCCUCUCUUCUGGCUGUCUCACUCCCUCAUUCUACUCUUCAUCGGCUUCACAUUCCCACUCAUCGCACUCGUCCUCAUCUACGCCAGGAUGUAUGCUGCUGCUCACAGAAACAGCGUGCGCACCCGGCGUCACUCGGUGUCGGGUUGCGGCGCCGAACUGGACGCGUGGCGUCGCACGUCGAACGCGACGUUCUCGGCGCUGCUGUUCAGAGAGGAGGGUCGCGCGGUCAAGACCGCUGUCAUGGUGAUCGCCUCCUUCCUCUUCUGUUGGACGCCGUUUUUCGUGUCGUCCACGUCACAGGCCUGGGGUAGCGUCACUCUCCCCCCCGCCUUGGUGGGCAUAUGCGCUCUGUCCGCCUCAUCGCUCAAUCCCUUCGUCUAUGUGUUCAGGAACGAAUCAGUACGCAAAGAGGCGGGCCGUGUGGUGUGCUGGUGGCGGGUGUCAGGGGGCUCGGCAUGCCCCACAGGUGCCCUGUCGCCAAUGACGGGGGGCGCGCCCCCACCACCCCUGUUGCGGCACCAGCCGUCGUCACACUGUGACAGCAUGUCAGUGCAGAGCUUCCAGAUGUCGACGGCCGACUGUCCUCACAACGACCAGCAGCCGCCACCCGCCGACUUUGUUGCCACUUACAAUCCGGUGCACGGUGACACCCUGCGCUAUGAGAGCGUGACAUUUCGGCUAGCUCAGCGCCGCUGCGGCACGUGUGUGCGACAGAACUCAGACUCAUCAUCAGGCAGUGGUCACCCUCUGCUCACCCCCCUGCCUCGCCGCCAGCGGCCCAGCAGUGAGCCGUCCACGCCCCGCCAUCUCAACAACAACGACGCCGACGCCGAUGACAGGGCGCCCGUCGUCUUCAAGUUUCAGCUGGAGUCGGGGGGUGGCGACAACAGCCGGCCGGGCAACACAAUCAAAACGGUGACGUCACCGAUGGCCUCACUCAAGUCACCCAUGACGUCACUCAAAACUGUGACGUCACAGCUGUCAGCCGAGCCGCCGCUCUGCAACGGAACCAGCGACGAGUCGAAGCGGGAACGCUAUCGGCUGCAGAGGCUGCGUGCAGUUGAGCUCGAGGACCCCGGAACUCAGGUCUAGUCAACUGCGCAGAUCUAGACCACUGCACAGGUCUAGUUGACUGCACACAGCGUGUGUACAGAUGAAUCUGUGAUCUUGGACAGGAUAUCGAUGGCCCCGUUUCGUCGAUAUUAAAACUUGAUGCUGACUUUUGAAGUAUUUUAGCAGUAACUGAAAUUGAACUGGAAAGUCAAAUCUACUGGAGAAGGUGAUUUUUUUGGAUGAAAUUACCGCAGAAAAACACGACGAAUGCGGCCAUCCAUUAUUUUGAAGACUUUUUCAGUGGCGAAGUUUAACAACUGAAUCACAAUUGUGAUGUGAAUAGAGUUGUUUGUGGCGGAGACACCUCCUGAAAUGCAUCUAAUGUUGGAGUAUGAAGCUCGAUAUUGGUACAACAUAUUCCCCUGUCUUGGACCACAGAUUUCAAGUAUGGCACGUGACAGAGAACUGUGAUGUGUCCGCAGUGCAUGAGAUGAUUAUGGAGUAUGGAGUUUGGCAUCCUGAUAAGCGGAUGUAUUCCGCGCUCUCCCUCCAUCCACCUCAGUUUCCAAGAAUGUAACUUGAUAG
rnacentral:misc_RNA from 1 species